GAAGUCAGCUGUUAAAGGUAUCCGUGAAGAAAUGCUUGCAUCUGAGCGCAGGAUAGGAAUUCCUGAAGCACGGCACCCUCAGUGUAAAUUAAUUAUUUUGGAUAUGAGUCUGCUUCCCUGCAUGACAAGGCUGAAAUGGGAAGAGAGAAAAAAUUGGAGCGCUUCAUUAGUAGCGAUCCAAGUAAUAGGGCAAUUAUAGUUUCCAUAGAAAGUUGGGCUCCUAAAAUUAUAGUUUAGUUGUAGUUUUUCUAAACUGCAAUGCAAUAAUCAUUAAUAUAGUAUAGGAAUGCUAUCGUGUUCCCGUAAAGGCGUUCUGUCUUGUGCUUUCGCACCUUUUUGCUCGCCAUGCGUGAAUGGAACUUUGCCCACCCGGCUUCCGCGUCUUUUUUGCUCGCAGGUGUAGCCUCAGACAACGAAUGUAUGAGCAUAGAAAGGGUCAUGUAUUACAUAAGCCUGGAGGUGAUGUUGAGUGGUCUCACUUAUUAUUUUAAAAGAGCAGUGGCAGUUUACUGUAAUUCUAAUGACCAUGAUGAGCCUUUGGGGUGAAAAUCGAUAAUAUGCGGGGUGCUUUUUUGUUGAAUUUUAAUGAGAGAAUCAAUGUCAUUAAGAGUAGGACAAAGGAAAUAAUCUUGCGAUUCAAUAAAUAAUAGGAGUCUUUGCCGGUGUCUUCUUCUUCAGACAGGAUGUGAUGACGUCACGCAGUCUGUAGCAAUGCAUUGACCGUUACUGGAAAAAAGUGUGGCAAUAGAAAAAUAGUGUGUAUUGUCCUGGGCAGAUUUAUGAUGAGCACUGUUUUUGAAUAAGAAGAAAUAGUUUGAUGCUGGUUUCCUUCUUUGUUUCUUUUCGCUUUUUCCCCCCUUGUCUGACAAGCAUGCGCUGACAUGCCUGGGCUUGUUCUGACAUGCUUUCCUUCUGCAUGUAGUUUUUUUCCUUUUGUACAAGGCAUAUUCUUGACGAUAGUGCUGCCUUGAAUGGGAGUAGAGCAAUUCUUAAUAAUUUUGCGAUUCAUUUAGUUCAGAGAGUAACCGCGAGGGGGACAGGUGUGUGACUUUAUGUCUUGCUGAACCAUUUUUUUUUCCUGUACAGUAAGACUUUGAGAAUGAAAUGCUACAAUCUCCUCUUGUCUAUGGUGUUUUUCUGCAAUAGUUCCCUACGCAAUCAUUAUAGUAGAAUAAAGGAAAUAAUCUAGGUAUAGUGAUUCAAUAAAUAACAGGUGCCCUGUCUAGAGCGUACGCGUCCUUGAGCCACGCACCUGCAUGAUGACCGCAUACCGAGAGACUAUUGUUUCAGGUUGACCUUGUCUAGAGGAGCAUUAGUGGAAAAAAAAACUGUGUAGCCCUGAGACAAUAGGAUGCCGACACGACCAAUGAGACUGGCCUGCAGGGGGCGCAAGGAUUCACUUCUCUCUUGGACACUGGCGGGUGUAGACACGGUAAUUAUGAUCCUGGCGUUGGCCGUCAGUGGAAGAGCGUAGCUUAGGUGGGGUUCUGUCUGCCUCUGAUGGGGUGUGGAUGUAUGGUUCGUCACUGGUGAAUGGUGUUCGACGAUGCAGGUGGAUUUUGUGACGAGCGGAUUUACAAUGAGGGAAUGCUGUGAACGGGAAAAAUGAUGGUGAGUGCCUUUUUCACUCUGUUCAAGUGUUCGUUUUCCUCUGUUGCCCAACAGUCGUGCGAAUUUGUCCUGACGUGUCCUGACAUGCCCCGAUAUGCAUGCUUUCCUUUGUUAACGCUUUGUAUUUUGUCUUUUUUUGACAAGGAACAUUGUCGUCUUGACGAUAGUGCUGCCCUGAGUUCUGCGCGCGUUGAUUUGUUGAGUGCCUAGUCCUCUUAUUAGCCGUUGAUGGAGUUACAUGUUAGGAUGUUUUGUUCUUUUGCAAGUCUCAUUUAGUAAGACUUUGGAAUUCCUACGAUCAGUUUUCAUGCAUGGUGCUCUUCUGCAAUAGUUUCCUAUGCAAUCGUUAUAGAAGAAUAAAGGAAAUAAUCUUGGGAUAGUGAUUCAAUAAAUAAUAGGUCCCCUGCUAGAGCGCACGCGUCCUUGAGCCACGCAUGUGCAUGAUGACGUCAUACCGUGGCUUCACUGCAGAUUGACCAAAGGAGCAUUAGUGGAAAGAAACAGUGUAGCCCUGAGACAAUAGGAUGAUGUCUGGACCAAUGAGAACUGCCAGCAGGGGGCGCAGGAAUGCUCUUCUCACUUAGCCUCACGACCAAUGAGAACGGCCAGCAGGGGGCGCAGGAAUGCUCUUCUCUCUUAGCCUCUCGCAGGUGGCGGUAGGAGCGCGCAGAGGGCGCUACGAGCGCGCGCAUGCGUAGCACCCGUAGAGUGGCGCUUACGUCAGUCCACCUCUGGCUCUCGUUGGGAGAAGACGUGCGGUCGUUCGCUCCGUCGUCACUUGAUCCCUGGCUGUCGACGAGAGCAGUCGCAUCGGUCUGCGCUCCUACUGUGAGCUGUCCUAACUUGCCCAGACAUGCCGUGAUGACGUCACAGGAUGUCCGGAACUGGUGGUCAUAGCUGCGAUGCUUUGCAACCUGCUUCUGUGCUCCGUCGCCCAGCGACGGUCAGCGGCCUUUCCGGACCGCUUUCUUCAAGAUGGCGCCGUUGAUCUUCAAUUAAACUCCUUCUCUCCACUCUA